rnacentral:rRNA from 1 species
GAUGAACGCUGGCGGCGUGCUUAACACAUGCAAGUCGAACGGAAAGGCCUCUGCUUGCAGAGGUACUCGAGUGGCGAACGGGUGAGUAACACGUGGGUGAUCUGCCCUGCACUUCGGGAUAAGCCUGGGAAACUGGGUCUAGUACCGGAUAGGACGAUGGUUUGGAUGCCGUUGUGGAAAGUUUUUUCGGUGUGGGAUGAGCUCGCGGCCUAUCAGCUCGUUGGUGGGGUAAUGGCCUACCAAGGCGUCGACGGGUAGCCGGCCUGAGAGGGUGUACGGCCACAUUGGGACUGAGAUACGGCCCAGACUCCUACGGGAGGCAGCAGUGGGGAAUAUUGCACAAUGGGCGCAAGCCUGAUGCAGCGACGCCGCGUGGGGGAUGACGGCCUUCGGGUUGUAAACUCCUUUCGCCAGGGACGAAGCGUUUUUGUGACGGUACCUGGAGAAGAAGCACCGGCUAACUACGUGCCAGCAGCCGCGGUAAUACGUAGGGUGCGAGCGUUGUCCGGAAUUACUGGGCGUAAAGAGCUCGUAGGUGGUUUGUCGCGUCGUUUGUGUAAGCCCGCAGCUUAACUGCGGGACUGCAGGCGAUACGGGCAUAACUUGAGUGCUGUAGGGGAGACUGGAAUUCCUGGUGUAGCGGUGGAAUGCGCAGAUAUCAGGAGGAACACCGAUGGCGAAGGCAGGUCUCUGGGCAGUAACUGACGCUGAGGAGCGAAAGCAUGGGGAGCGAACAGGAUUAGAUACCCUGGUAGUCCAUGCCGUAAACGGUGGGCGCUAGGUGUGAGUCCCUUCCACGGGGUUCGUGCCGUAGCUAACGCAUUAAGCGCCCCGCCUGGGGAGUACGGCCGCAAGGCUAAAACUCAAAGGAAUUGACGGGGGCCCGCACAAGCGGCGGAGCAUGUGGAUUAAUUCGAUGCAACGCGAAGAACCUUACCUGGGCUUGACAUACACCAGAUCGCCGUAGAGAUACGGUUUCCCUUUGUGGUUGGUGUACAGGUGGUGCAUGGUUGUCGUCAGCUCGUGUCGUGAGAUGUUGGGUUAAGUCCCGCAACGAGCGCAACCCUUGUCUUAUGUUGCCAGCAAUUCGGUUGGGGACUCAUGAGAGACUGCCGGGGUUAACUCGGAGGAAGGUGGGGAUGACGUCAAAUCAUCAUGCCCCUUAUGUCCAGGGCUUCACACAUGCUACAAUGGUCGGUACAACGCGUCUUGCGAGCCUGUGAGGGUGUGCUAAUCGCUGAAAGCCGGCCUUAGUUCGGAUUGGGGUCUGCAACUCGACCCCAUGAAGUCGGAGCCGCUAGUAAUCGCAGAUCAGCAACGCUGCGGUGAAUACGUUCCCGGGCCU